CACGUAGGGCGCAAGCGUUGUCCGGAAUUAUUGGGCGUAAAGAGCUCGUAGGCGGUCUGUUGCGUCUGCUGUGAAAACUCGGGGCUUAACCCCGAGCCUGCAGUGGAUACGGGCAGACUAGAGGUAGGUAGGGGAGAAUGGAAUUCCCGGUGUAGCGGUGAAAUGCGCAGAUAUCAGGAAGAACACCCGUGGCUAAGGCGGCUCUCUAGUACGGUACUGACGCUGAGACGCGAAAGCGUGGGGAGCAAACAGG
rnacentral:rRNA from 1 species